GUGACGGUGCUCGUGCCCACGGAGAGGACUUUGCGUGCCACCUCUGACACGCAUGCUAUAGGUUCGCCAUCACGAGCCUAAGCGUUCCCAUCUGCUUCAUCCCGGUUAAAAUCCUGCUUCCCUUUUGCAUCGGGUGAGGGAAACACUGCCUGUUGCCGAAGAAGAAGAAGAAGAAGAAGAAGAAGAAAAAGCAGUUAGUUGAAAGGAGAAAUCUGCAGGCAGGAUCUUCUGGUUGAGUUAAUCGUUAGCUUGGCCUUUUCGAUAAUCCGGGAUAUCUUGGUUUCCGUCAGCACAGGCCGACUCACGUCCUAUCAGUGUCGCCAAGCAGCCCGAAGCCCAACGGGGGAAACCUCCGCCUCGUUUGCCAAACCCCGACCCUUGAUCCACCGGCUCCCGGGGCAGCGGCCCGAGGGACUCCCCGCGACUGGAAGCAAGGGAGGCGCUGGAGCUCCGAAGCAGGGCGUGCGCUAGGACCCGGAGCCGCCUCUCGGAGCCCGAGCAGACACACCUGUUUCUCCGGCUCCGGAU